rnacentral:tRNA from 1 species
CAGAGCGUAGCUAAAACAGUAUAGCACCUCCCUUACACCGAGAAGACACCCGUGCAAAUCGGGUCGCGCUGA